GUACAUGAUUAAGGUCAUUCAUGAGGUUAUAGAGGGUUUAUAACGGUAUUAUUAUAAGACCCAGUAUGUUUGACAACCUUGAUACCGUUAGAUGUUAUUUUGAUAUGGCAUAUAUAUUUUCUUUUAAGUAAAACCUUUUAGUAAAUAUUUGACCACUAUGAUUUCGGGUAGUUACUAUUAUUACUACCUCCGAAUAUAUUUUAAAUUAUACACAUUAUAUGAGGAAGAUUAUAAAUGGGAUUUCCUUUAUUAUAAAGGUAGAAAUGAUUUUCUCAUGAGAAAAGAAAGUACUUUUUCCCAUUUUGAGAAUUUAUAGAACAAAAUUUGUACACUUGAGAUCAGAUUGGAGAAUUAAAAUGUGAUGAAAUAUUUUUUUUUUGGAUAUAAUGUUAGUAUAUGUGUAAAUUUUUAUGAGGUAUUUUUGAACUAUUAGUAUUUUAAAUUGUGAAUUUAUUUUGUUACAAUGUAUAAUAAUUAUCAAUUAAUAGAUAAAUUAUAUACAUAUAUUAUAUGAGUAAGUGGGUAGGUGAAAUUAUAUGCGUGCAUGUAAGUGUAGGUGGCAUAGUUAGUAGUGAGUAUUAAAGGGGGUUGGCCAAAAGGAUGCCAUGUGUAAAGGAAAAAGGACUUCCAUUUAUCUCUUUUCACUUUACUGAGAGGAUUCAUCUUUCAAGCAAAUAUAGGCAAUAUUUAUUUCAUAGUAGCAUUAGAACGUGAGCUACAUUUUCUUGGCAGUAGCACAACACAAUCACGUCAAUAGUGGGAGCUGAUUUCUCACUUUGAUUCACCAAUCUACUUAGCAACGUUUUUCCCCACAAAUACCUUGAUAAUUUGUGUUUUCUUCAACAAAAAGAAAAAUAGAUGCCACAUAGGAGGGAACGUGUAAACAACAAGGGCAACACCUAAAUACCCAUUUGAUGACUAAGUGGAUCCAUUAUUUCAUUCACAAAAUUGGAAUUUGAGAGAGAAGCAAUUUAUUUCCCAAAGUGAGCUAGAGAGAAGGACUCUCGGCCAUGGUUGCUCUUAGUUGAGCUCAAGAUUUUGAUAACAAAUAAAAUGGUUUCUAAGGUGCUACAUACAUUCAAAGGGGGUGGCAGCAUGAAUUUAAUUCUUGGAGCAACAAGAAUACUUGCAAUCUUAAUCUACAAAAUGCAACAACGUUAGGUGUUCUCAAUUUGCUAAGGCUAAAAGAGCGACGAGGCGAACGGAUUUACGAAUAGUCGCUAACAGGUACAGAUAGUCGGUUUGGUGACCCUUCAACAUAGGACUUCCACUCAGCUGUCUUGGAGAGCUCCGUUGUUCCGGAGUCUAGACUUUUAAUACAGAUCUCAUGAUAUAUAUAUGUUACUGUUGAUACUCUUAGAGGUCUGUCCCGUCAUAUGUUGAUACUCUUAGAGGUCUGUAGACAUAUGUGUGGGUUGUGUAUAAGCUCUGUUCAGCUGUGUCUAUACGUUGUGCUAUGUAUAUGUUCGUCUGUAAUGGCAGCCUUGUCGGCUAGCAUAUGACAUGAUAUUGAUAUGUAGUGGCAGCCUUGUCGGCUUGCGUAUCGUUUUAUUAUUUGAUCAGUUGUGACUCCUCAGGAGACAGUUUAUCUCUGAAUAUACAUAUAUGAUGACGUUCUGAACCGUUGGAGUUCUUUUGCAAGUUUCCAUAUUAUUCAUAGAUUCAGUUUGAUUAUAUGUAGCAGGU